GAUGAACGCUAGCUACAGGCUUAACACAUGCAAGUCGAGGGGCAGCACUAGGUAGCAAUACUGAGGUGGCGACCGGCGCACGGGUGCGUAACGCGUAUCCAACCUUCCCGUUACUCUUGGAUAGCCUUCCGAAAGGGAGAUUAAUACAAGAUGGUAUUCAAAUUCCGCAUGUUAUUUGAAUUAAAGAUUUAUCGGUAUCGGAUGGGGAUGCGUGACAUUAGAUAGUAGGCGGGGUAACGGCCCACCUAGUCUACGAUGUCUAGGGGUUCUGAGAGGAAGGUCCCCCCACACUGGAACUGAGACACGGUCCAGACUCCUACGGGAGGCAGCAGUGAGGAAUAUUGGUCAAUGGCCGAGAGGCUGAACCAGCCAUGCCGCGUGAAGGUCACGGCCCUAUGGGUCUUAAACUCUUUUGUAAGGAGCAAUAAGGGUCACGUGUGGUCCGAUGAGAGUACCUUACGAAUAAGCAUCGGCUAACUCCGUG
rnacentral:rRNA from 1 species